rnacentral:rRNA from 1 species
UACAGGGGGGCGAGCGUUGUUCGGAAUUACUGGGCGUAAAGGGUUUGUAGGUGGCUUGCUCAGUCAGACGUGAAAUCCCUCAGCUUAACUGGGGAACUGCGUCUGAUACUAGCGAGCUUGAGUGCAGGAGAGGAACGCGGAAUUCCAGGUGUAGCGGUGAAAUGCGUAGAUAUCUGGAGGAACACCGGUGGCGAAGGCGGCGUUCGUGGACUGCAACUGACACUGAAAAACGAAAGCCAGGGGAGCAAACAGG